rnacentral:lncRNA from 1 species
GAACCGCAAUUUAUAUUUAUGGUUUACUUUCCUAGCUGCUAUAUACUACUGUUUGUAGUAUUGUAAGAUUACAGGUACUUCUACUGUUUCGCUUCGUAUACCAGGAAAAUUUCAAUGUAUACGGCGGGUCUGUUAGCAAGCCCGGGGAAACGAGUAAUCCGGGGCGUGACACUCUUUCUUUUCGUUAUUUUUUAUUUUAAAAUCUAAUUUAUUAAAUAAAAUUUUAAUUAUUAACUUUGUAGAUUAUAUAUGUUUAAUUGAGUUUUGAUAUUAAAAUAUUUAUCAUUUAAUAUAAGUUAUGGUGUAUAAAUUGUUACUAUAUAUCAUGUGUAUGUAAGAUUUUUUUUU